CAAGCGGGGAAGUAGGUGGUUUAAUUCAACGCACCGCAAAAAACCUUACCUGGGCUCAAACGGCUAGUGACAGGGGAUGAAAGUUCCUUUUCCCGCAAGGGACACUACAUCGAGGUGCUGCAUGGCUGUCGUCAUCUCGUGUCGUGAGAUGUUGGGUUAAGUCCCGCAACGAGCGCAACCCCUGCCUUUAUUUGCCACCAGGUCAAGCUGAGCACUCUAAAGGGACUGCCGGUGAAAAACCGGAGGAAGGAGGGGAUGACGUCAAGUCCUCCUGGCCUUUAUGUCCAGGGCUACACACAUACUACAAUGGGCGGCACAAUGAGUCCCAAACCCGCGAGGGGGAGCCAAUCUAAAAAAACCGCUCUCAGUUCGGAUUGCACUCUGCAACUCGACUGCAUGAAACUGGAAUCGCUAGUAAUCUCUGAUCACCACGCAGCGGUGAAUACCUUCCCGGGCCUUGUACACACC
rnacentral:rRNA from 1 species